rnacentral:rRNA from 1 species
CCUACGGGAGGCAGCAGUAGGGAAUAUUGCACAAUGGGGGCAACCCUGAUGCAGCAACGCCGCGUGUAUGAUGAAGGUUUUCGGAUUGUAAACUCCUUUUGUUGGGGAAGAUGAUGACGAUGUCUAACGCAUAAGCACCGGCUAACACCGUGCCAGCAGCCGCGGUCAUACGGAGGGUGCAAGCGUUAGUCGGAAUCACUGGGCGUAAAGCGCGCGUAGGCGGGAUAGCAAGUCAGAUGUGAAAUCCUAUGGCUUAACCAUAGAACUGCAUUUGAAACUGGCAUUCUAGAGUAUUGGAGAGGGAGGUAGAAUUCCUGGUGUAGGGGUAAAAUCCGUAGAGAUCUAGAGGAAUACUCAUUGCGAAGGCGACCUCCUAGAACAUAACUGACGCUGAUGUGCGAAAGCGUGGGGAGCAAACAGGAUUAGAUACCCUUGUAGUC